rnacentral:tRNA from 1 species
GCCCUCGUAGCUCAGCUGGAUAGAGCAACCGCCUCCUAAGCGGUAGGCCGCGCGUUCGAGUCGCGCCGAGGGCG